CCUACGGGAUGCAGCAGUGAGGAAUAUUGGUCAAUGGGCGCGAGCCUGAACCAGCCAAGUAGCGUGAAGGAUGACUGCCCUACGGGUUGUAAACUUCUUUUAUAAAGGAAUAAAGUGAGGCACGUGUGCCUUUUUGUAUGUACUUUAUGAAUAAGGAUCGGCUAACUCCGUGCCAGCAGCCGCGGUAAUACGGAGGAUCCGAGCUUUAUCCGGAUUUAUUGGGUUUAAAGGGAGCGUAGAUGGGUUGUUAAGUCAGUUGUGAAAGUUUGCGGCUCAACCGUAAAAUUGCAAUUGAUACUGGCAGCCUUGAGUACAGUUGAGGUAGGCGGAAUUCGUGGUGUAGCGGUGAAAUGCUUAGAUAUCACGAAGAACUCCGAUUGCGAAGGCAGCUUACUAAACUGCCACUGACAUUGAUGCUCGAAAGCGCGGGUAUCGAACAGGAUUAGAUACCCUGGUAGUC
rnacentral:rRNA from 1 species